rnacentral:rRNA from 1 species
GACGAACGCUGGCGGCGUGCUUAACACAUGCAAGUCGAGCGGUAAGGCCCUUUCGGGGGUACACGAGCGGCGAACGGGUGAGUAACACGUGGGUGACCUGCCCUCAGCUCUGGGAUAAGCCUGGGAAACCGGGUCUAAUACUGGAUAUGACUCCAUGACGCAUGUUGUGGGGUGGAAAGCCUUGUGCGGCUGAGGAUGGGCCCG